UGAGCACCUGCCCUUCCAAAGGUCUCUGCACGGCCCAGUGCGGGACUAAGACGCAAGAAAAAGAUGCAAGUGAGGGAAACAUGGAUGCAAUUAAGAGACUUGAGAAGCACCAGUUGUGUAGUGGGUCAUUGGCCAAACACCAAUGCUUCAUGAAAUCCACAAGAAGUCACGGAAAGUAGUUGGAUCAUUCUGAUCCAGCUGCAAAGCUAAGGACAAACUUGUGAUUGAUGGGCAGACAAACACAGGCUUGUACCUGAAGGAUGGCCUGCACUACAGAAUCAUUCUGGAUAUUGGCCCUGUCCACACUGCUGGAUCCAAGAUGUAAAAAUCCAGUCAAACUCCAGGCUGCAUCAAAAGUAAAAAAAAAUCUCCUUUCCUAACCACCUU